AUAAAUAAAUCACUCCCCCAUUCAUUUGGUUUCUCUCUGCAACGCUUACAAUAAUUCACUCACGCAGCAUUAAACGUAUCUCGAUUCCCAUCAUCAUCCCUUUCCCCAAUUCAAUUUUCCCUAACCUAAAUCAAUCAAGCGUGAUUCUUCUCCACCAUCUCCCUAGAACUGGCGAUCCAAAUCCUUGGUUUUAUUCGAUUGCAGCGCUCCUCACCCUUACCCGAGGUCGCCAUUUAUUUGAUUGGAGUCGUCCCUCACCCUUACCCAAGGCCCCCUAAUAAAGUUACUGCUAUUUGAACGUUUGAUUCUGAUACAGACAGUUUCUUUUCUAAGUGAAAUCAUGUCCAUGACGAGUAGUAUUGAUGGAUUUUUGAAGAGGUUUGACUCUUGAAGCUAGAGAUAUUCCUGGCUAAAUUUAUCAAUUGUAUAAUAACAGACGGUAAUUCGGUAAACUACCAGGAUCAAACAGUUUUGGGAUAACAUUGAUAAUGAGCAAUUUAAUUGUGGUUGAUGCUGAAGUCCUAGAAUGGUAAAAACAGUGAGUUAAUGCAGCAGUUAGUUUUUCCUAAUAUUUCAAGAAAGAUGAUGUGCUGGAGCUGACCAAAUGGUCUGUGGCUCCUUUCCCUAUUCCUGGUCAGUGGUCUGUGGCUCUGGAGAUGUGAAGAAGCUUAGUGGUUCUUUGUGGAUCAUAUAACCAUGGAAUUGCAUUUUACUUUGCACCCUUCUUUUGAAAUAAGCGCAUCCAGAUGAUGAUAAACAUGCUUAGAUUUGAAAUUGUUAGAUUUAGUUCUUGGUUAUGCUAUGUAUAUUUAUAUUUUGUCAAAUUAUAAGGUAAAAAUCCCACAGGGAUUGUAAAUGUUAAUAAUUUCAUGUUAAAACUCUUUUUUUUAAAUUAAUGCUAAAAUUUAAAACUGAUAUAAAAAUUAAUUCUUAUUUCCGUGCUUAUGUAUUUAGCAGAGAUAUUUUAUUGUACCUGUAAUACUCUUAUUAAGUAUGUGUUUUCUUCUUUAUUAUCUGUUUUACUAAUUUUGUCAUAUGAGAAGGGAGACCUGACUUUUCUUCUCCCAUAUGUUUAUGUUUUUUUUUUGAUAAGCCCCAUGUUUAUGUAAAAUGGAAGAAAUAUUUAGAAGAAUUAUAGAGAACUGGUGAAAUAAUCUUUAUUCUCACAGAUUGGUGAACUGGUUUUUUUCUCAUUUCAGAGCUUGAUUCAGAGAAAGUCAGUGUAGCAGCUCAAGAAGAAGAAGAGGAAUCUGUUCAAGAGCACUUUUCAUCCCCCUUCCACUACUAUUUUGAUUCAGAGUCAGAAUCAUUUGAUGAAAAGUGAUCUAAUCUGGGGCAACAGUGAUAAAAUUGAUGAUUCAAUUUCAUAUCAAUUCCUGGGUGGCAAAAUUUUCGGUGAAGGAUUUGAACCUGAGAUUCUGAAGCUUAUUAUGAGAGAAGAAAGACCAGAGGAUCUGGAUGAAAAGCAAUCUUCAUGUGAUAGAAAAUUUUCAGAAUUUGGAGUUCAUGGUGUGUUUAUUCUGAAGAUGAGUAUAUUGAAAUGGAACCUGGCAUGAUGCGUUUUAAGUCUUUGAAUGUGCAUGGUUUUGGUGAUGUAUCAGAACCUGAUGAGCAAGAUGAGGAUGAUUUUCAAUGUAUCAUGCUGUAUUCUUCCUGGAACCAAUACAAGAAAUACAUGUAUUUCUUAUUUUGUGGAUGUUUAAUUGAAUUGGUGUUUCAUGCUGUAUUCUUCCAUAA